UUCAAUAUCCCGAAGAAUGCGUACAUCUUCAUUUGUAACAAAAUUAAUAGCUACACCUUUACGACCAAAUCGUCCACUGCGACCAAUGCGAUGUAUAUAGUUUUCUCGAUUUGCAGGAAGAUCGUAAUUGAUCACUAAUGAAACUUGCUGAACAUCAAUUCCUCUUGCCCAUAUGUCUGUGCAUAUGAGAACCCUACUAUUUCCUUGUCGAAAAUCUUGCAUGAUAGCGUCUCUUUCUUUUUGCGGCAUCUCACCGUGCAUACUGGUAACGGUAAAGUUAGCUUCUCGCAUUUUCUCCGUCAACCAAUCAACCUUCCUACGAGAAUUGCAAAAUAUCACAGCUUGUGUAAUGGUUAAAGUAUCAUAUAAAUCACACAGAGUAUCAAACUUCCAUUCCUCUUUUUCAACUGCUAUAAAGUACUGUUUUAAGCCUUCAAGAGUAAGUUCAUCGCGCUUGACCAAUAUUCGAACAGGGUUAGUGGUAAACUUGUUAGUCAUUUCUAACACGUCUUGAGGCAAGGUAGCACUCACAACUACCACCUGUGUACCAGGGGGUAAAUAUCUAUAAAUGUCAUAAAUUUGUUCCUUAAAGCCUUGAUUUAAGAGCUCAUCCGCUUCAUCAAGAAUAAGCAUCUUAACAUUGCGAGUUCGCAAAUUUCGUCUACGAAUCAUGUCCGUUACGCGCCCAGGAGUGCCAGAAACAACGUGUUGUCCAUAAUCCAAUUUUUUGAUGUCAUUUCCAACGGAUGUGCCGCCUAUACAAGCAUGACAUUGAACGUUCAUAUGGUCACCCAAUGCAAGUACAACAUUCUGGAUUUGAACUGCCAAUUCUCUCGUAGGAGAAAGUAUUAAAGCUUGAGUAUCUCGGACUGAUAAAUCGAUCGACUGAAGAAUACCAAUAGAAAAAGUUGCUGUUUUCCCUGUACCAGAUUGAGCUUGUGCGAUAACGUCUCUCCCUUUACAGAUUUGAAUAAUCGCCCGGCUUUGCACAGCACUCGGAGUCUCAUAGCCAUACGCAUAGAUUCCACGAAGUAAAUCCUCUGCAUGUUGUUAGAACAAAAUUAUGGAAAUUUUUAUCAAUUCAUUAACUAACCUUUAAGAUUCAUUUCCUCAACUGCAAAACAAUGUUAGCAUCAUUCACAGUAAGUAUUCAUAUUAUAAAAAAAUAUAAUUUACUUACAAGAGGAUACAGCAUUCACAUCUUCCGAUGUCGUAAGCUCCACGUUCUCCAUUAUUUCGUCCGCCAUAAUGGAAGUUGUAGUAGUUAUGUUAUGUCAGCCCAACUUGAGGAAAAUGAAGGAGAGAAAAUUUGACAAGCAAAUAGAAAGCUUGGUUAGUUACAAAAAUAAAAGAAUAUUCCUUUAAAAAAUUUCAAUUGUAC